UACGUAGGGUGCGAGCGUUGUCCGGAAUUAUUGGGCGUAAAGGGCUCGUAGGCGGUCCAUCGCGUCGGGAGUGAAAAGCUGGGGCUUAACCCCAGUCCUGCUUUCGAUACGGGCAGACUAGAGUGCUGUAGGGGAGACUGGAAUUCCUGGUGUAGCGGUGAAAUGCGCAGAUAUCAGGAGGAACACCGGUGGCGAAGGCGGGUCUCUGGGCAGUAACUGACGCUGAGGAGCGAAAGCGUGGGGAGCGAACAGG
rnacentral:rRNA from 1 species